UACGGAGGAUGCGAGCGUUAUCCGGAUUUAUUGGGUUUAAAGGGUGCGUAGGCGGACGCUUAAGUCAGCGGUAAAAUUGCGGGGCUCAACCUCGUCGAGCCGUUGAAACUGGGUGCCUUGAGUGGGCGAGAAGUACGCGGAAUGCGUGGUGUAGCGGUGAAAUGCAUAGAUAUAACGCAGAACUCCGAUUGCGAAGGCAGCGUACCGGCGCCCUACUGACGCUGAAGCACGAAGGCGUGGGUAUCGAACAGG
rnacentral:rRNA from 1 species